UCUGGUUGAUCCUGCCAGACCCGACUGCUAUCCGGGUGAGACUAAGCCAUGCAAGUCAUAUGGGUUGCUAACUAUACCAUGGCAAACUGCUCAGUAACAAGUGAUUAACUUACCCUUUGGUGGGGCAUACCCUCGGGAAACUGAGGCUAAUUCCCCAUAGUUGAAUAUGCCUGGAAUGGUUUUUCAUCGAAAGAAUAUAACAAAUGCGUUAUAUUUGCCGAAGGAUAGGAUCGCUCCCGAUUAUGGUUGUUGGCGAGAUAAUGGCUCACCAAGCCUAUGAUCGGUAAGGGCCGUGAGAGCGGAAGCCCUGAGAUGGGAACUGAGACAAUGUCCCAGGCCUUACGAGGCGCAGCAGGCGCGAAACCUUUACAAUGCACGAAAGUGUGAUAAGGAUACCCGGAGUGCUAAAAGCACAACUUUUAGCUGUUAUAGUGUGUAGAUAACACUAUGAGAAAGGAGAGGGCAAGGCUGGUGCCAGCCGCCGCGGUAAAACCAGCUCUUCAAGUGGUCGGGACAAUUAUUGAGCUUAAAGUGUCCGUAGCCGGUUUGGUAAGUCCCUGGUUAAAUCUGGUAGCUUAACUAUCAGUAGGCUAGGGAAACUGCCUCGCUAGAGGGCGGGAAAGGUCUGAGGUACUCCAGGGGUAGCGGUGAAAUGCGAUAAUCCUUGGGGGACCACCAGUGGCGAAGGCGUCAGACUGGAACGCGCCUGACGGUGGGGGACGAAAGCCAGGGGAGCGAACGGGAUUAGAUACCCCGGUAGUCCUGGCUGUAAACGAUGCAUGUUAGGUGUUGGUAGGGCUAUGAGCUGUAUCAGUGCCGUAGAGAAAUCGUUAAACGUGCCGCUUGGGAAAUACGCUCGCAAGAGUGAAACUUAAAGGAAUUGGCGGGGGAGCACCACACGGGGUGAAGCCUGCGGUUCAAUUGGACCCAACGCCGGGAAACUUACCGGGGGCGACAGCAGAAUGAAGGUCAGGCUGACGACCUUACCAGACAAGCUGAGCGGAGGUGCAUGGCCGUCGCCAGUUCGUGCCGUGAGGUAUCCUGUUAAGUCAGGCAACGAACGAGACCCACACAUUUAGUUGCUAUCAAGAGCCUACGGGUUCGUUGGGAACGCUAAAUGGACUGCCAUCUUACAGGUGGAGGAAGGGGUGGGCCACGGCAGGUCAGUAUGCCCCUAAUCCCCCGGGCCACACGCGGGCUGCAAUGGUAUGGACAAUGGGCUGCGACUCUGAAAAGAGAAGCCAAUCUCGAAACCAUAUCUCAGUUGGGAUUGUCGGCUGUAACCCGCCGACAUGAACGUGGAAUCCCUAGUAAUCGUGCGUCAUCAUCACACGGUGAAUACGUCUCUGCUCCUUGCACACACCGCCCGUCGCUCCAUCCGAGUGUAGUAUGCUUGAAAGAUGGUCCUUUGGGUCAUUUUGAGAGCGUACUAUGCAAGGAGGGAGAAGUCGUAACAAGGUA
rnacentral:rRNA from 1 species